GCAGGCUUAACACAUGCAAGUCGAACGAGAAGCCGGGCUUCGGCCCGGUGGACAGUGGCGCACGGGUGAGUAACGCGUGGGAACCUGCCCAUGAGUGGGGAAAAACGGUUGGAAACGACCGCUAAUUCCGCAUACGCCCUACGGGGGAAAGGCUUCGGCCGCUCAUGGAUGGGCCCGCGUCCGAUUAGCUUGUUGGUGAGGUAAUGGCUCACCAAGGCGACGAUCGGUAGCUGGUCUGAGAGGACGAUCAGCCACAUUGGGACUGAGACACGGCCCAGACUCCUACGGGAGGCAGCAGUGGGGAAUAUUGGACAAUGGGCGAAAGCCUGAUCCAGCCAUGCCGCGUGAGUGAUUUGAAGGCCCUAGGGUUGUAAAGCUCUUUCGGCGGGGAAGAUGAUGACGGUACCCGCAGAAGAAGCCCCGGCUAACUCCGUGCCAGCAGCCGCGGUAAUACGGAGGGGGCUAGCGUUGCUCGGAAUCACUGGGCGUAAAGCGAGCGUAGGCGGCCGCGCAAGUCGGGGGUGAAAGCCCGGGGCUCAACCCCGGAACUG
rnacentral:rRNA from 1 species